rnacentral:rRNA from 1 species
UACAGAGGGUGCGAGCGUUAAUCGGAAUUACUGGGCGUAAGCGCGCGUAGGCGGCUUGCAAGUCGGGUGUCGAAAUCCCCAGGCUUAACCUGGGAACUGCAUUCGAGACUGCAUUGCUAGAGUAUGGGAGAGGGAAGUGGAAUUCCGGUGUAGCGGUGAAAUGCGUAGAUAUCGAGGAGGAACACCGGUGGCGAAGGCGGAUCUCUGGGCCUUACCUGACGCUGGAGGCGCGAAAGCUAGGGGAGCGAACAGG